rnacentral:rRNA from 1 species
GACGAACGCUGGCGGCGUGCUUAACACAUGCAAGUCGAACGGAAAGGCCCCUUUGGGGGUACUCGAGUGGCGAACGGGUGAGUAACACGUGAGUAACCUGCCCUUGACUUCGGGAUAACUUCAGGAAACUGGGGCUAAUACCGGAUAGGAAUCCUUGCUGCAUGGUGGGGGUUGGAAAGCUUCGGCGGUUUUGGAUGGACUCGCAGCUUAUCAGCUUGUUGGUGGGGUAGUGGCUUACCAAGGCUUUGACGGGUAGCCGGUCUGAGAGGGCGACCGGCCACAUUGGGACUGAGAUACGGCCCAGACUCCUACGGGAGGCAGCAGUGGGGAAUAUUGCACAAUGGGCGGAAGCCUGAUGCAGCAACGCCGCGUGCGGGAUGACGGCCUUCGGGUUGGAAACCGCUUUCAGCAGGGGCGAAGCUUGUGGUGACGGUACCUGCAGAAGAAGCACCGGCUAACUACGUG